CAGGCCUAACAAUGCAAGUCGAACGAUACAGUGGCAGACGGGUGAGUAACGCGUGGGAACUACCUUUCACUACGGAAUAGCUCUGGGAAACUGGUGGUAAUACCGUAUAGCCCUCCGGGGGAAAGAUUUAUCGGUGAAAGAUCGGCCCGCGUUAGAUUGGUAGUUGGUGGGGUAAUGGCCUACCAAGCCUACGAGCGAUAGCUGGUCGAGAGGAUGAUCAGCCACAUUGGGACUGAGACACGGCCCAAACUCCUACGGAGGCAGCAGUGGGGAAUCUUGCACAAUGGGCGAAAGCCUGAUGCAGCAUGCCGCGUGAAUGAUGAAGGCCUUAGGGUUGUAAAAUUCUUUCGCUAGGAUGAUAAUGACAGUACCUAGUAAAGAAGCCCCGGCUAACUUCGUGCCACAGCCGCGGUAAU
rnacentral:rRNA from 1 species